rnacentral:lncRNA from 1 species
AGAAGAAAAGUGUGUAUGUGGAAAAAAUGGCUAGUUUUUCAUGUAAAAGAAAAAUAAACAAAUAAGAUAGCGGUUCGAAUGGAUGAAGUGCCCAUCACUUUAUUCUCCCUUCUCUUAUGGAUUGACGAACACAGUCCAGGAAUAUCGAUUCCAAGGUAGGAGUCCACUAUACUCCGUUAUGAAGCCGGGUAAUUUUGUUCUUGCCUUCCCUCAUGGAAUUUAGAAUUCGAACAUGUUUUGAGAUGAAUGAUGAAAUUAUAAAUAUCUUCCUACGAUUCCCCCUAUCUUUCUUUUGGUAAUAACUCUUGGAUAAUAUAGAAUUCCACUUUUUCCGGUCAUUAAGAUUGAAAAAUGUCCUUAGGCCUAAGCAAUUAUCAAAUUAAUUUUUAAAUGCACAAUACAAAUAUCAAAUUUGCCUCUCUUAUAAUGAUUCAAUUGUUCAAAUGUGCUGUUUUUAUAUAUUUUUGUUUUAUGGUAAUAACAUCAAAUUGUUGUAGUUUCUUGUAGUAUUUGUAAUUACAUAUUUAAUUUAAUAUAUGACGUCCAGAGCCUUAUAUCUGAAUCUCAAAGUGAAUGGAUCCCGUCAUAGGUUCAACCAUUGAAUAUAUAGUUGAAUAGAUUUAUACCCUAAAAAGGAACUCACUCUACUUUAGUAUGAAUCUUAGAUUGGUUUGGUUCACUUCUUACGAUAAAUUUUCAUCCCAUCAUCAUCCCUGUACUUAUCAGAAAUCGAACAUCUCUUGUUGAUGAUAAAAUAUCUUUUCUUUUGUCCUAAUUAUUAGAGAACAUGGAAGUAGUUCUGUCUUAUAUGAAUUAAGAUUAAUCUUUGAAUAUGAAAAGUACAUCUAAAUUAUAAAUGUGUGUCUCCAUUUUCCAAAUAUUUGUAAAUAAAUAUGUUUGAUAUGUUUCAAUAUUAAGAUAAUAAACAUAUUUUACUUUAUUAUAUUUA